rnacentral:misc_RNA from 1 species
UUUGUGACCUAAUCCCUUUUCUUUCUUUCACUUGGUAAAGUAAGUAAUUUGUAUUAUAAACAACUCCACACUAAGAGAGUUCUCUGUGCACUUCCACUUAGCAAUUAAAAAAAGGUGCAUUCUUGGUGAAUUAAACAGUGCAAAAGGCGAAACCCUGAUGCAGAAAGUUAUUUUAAUAAUCAAACAAGCAUCAAAUAAUCUGAAUCAGAAACUGAAAAAUCUUACCUAUCCAUGCUAGCUGUCAACCAGAAAAAAGAACCGGGGAGGUGCAGUAAACCUUUGUUCUUGUUUUUUUGCUGAGGUCCACAGAGACUCUGGCCUGUUAAGCUAGGUCAAAGAAUAUUAAGAUCUGGGCAAAUGAUGUACGGAAGAACCCAGAUAACAUCCAUAAUUUUGAGUGAUGAAAAAGAUUGAAACUUUAGAUAGUUGGGGUUCAGUGAUCG